GAAUAUUGGACAAUGGGCGCAAGCCUGAUCCAGCCAUGCCGCGUGAGUGAUGAAGGCCUUCGGGUUGUAAAGCUCUUUCACCGAUGAAGAUAAUGACGGUAGUCGGAGCAGAAGCCCCGGCUAACUUCGUGCCAGCAGCCGCGGUAAUACGACGGGGGCUAGCGUUCUUCGGAAUUACUGGGCGUAAAGCGCACGUAGGCGGAUCGAUCAGUUAGGGGUGAAAUCCCAGGGCUCAACCCUGGAACUGCCUUUAAUACUGCCUGUCUUGAGUUCGAGAGAGGUGUGUGGAAUUCCGAGUGUAGAGGUGAAAUUCGUAGAUAUUCGGAGGAACACCAGUGGCGAAGGCAACCCCCUGGGCCUGUACUGACGCUCAUGCACGAGAGCGUGGGGAGCAAACA
rnacentral:rRNA from 1 species